rnacentral:rRNA from 1 species
AUGGGGUCGUGGAGGCCGAGGAUGCCGGGGUUCGGCGACGAAGGCGGCGGCGGCGGCGGGCGAGGGGGCGGCCAGGGCAGGGGCAUGGGUGGUCGCGGCCGCGGCGGCUUCGGCUUCUACCCUCAGCAAGGCGGCCGCGGCGGAGGGGGAGGAGGAGGAGGCUCCUACCAGCCUCGCGGCGCGGCGCAGCAGUGGCGCCCGGCCGCCCCUGCUCCGGCGCAGCCGCACGCCAACGGCAACGGCGGCCCGGCCGCCACGAUAGCUCCCGAGCUGCGCCAAGCAAACACGGACGACGCCGCUCCGGCUCCGCCCGCCCCGGCCCCUGAGGCCCUCGAGGCCGUCGCCGAGCAUCUCGAGCUCGACGACGUCACCGACCAGUUCGACGCCCUGUCCAUGUCCAUGGGAGGCGACGACUCGGGCUCGGUCACCACCGGCACCGGCAGGGAGCUCGCCGUGGCCCGGGCGCCGAUCCCGCGGGCGGACAGCUCGUGCAAGUUCCCGCACCGCCCCGGGAGCGGGCGGGCCGGCACGCGGUGCCUGGUGAAGGCGAACCACUUCCUGGCCGAGCUGCCGGACAAGGACCUGCACCAGUACGACGUGGCCAUCACGCCGGAGACGUCGCGGGUGUCCGGCCGCGCCGUCAUGGGCGAGCUGGUGCGCCUGCACCGGGCGUCCUACCUCGGCGGCCGCCUCCCCGCCUACGACGGCAGCAAGAGCAUGUACACCGCCGGCCCGCUGCCCUUCACCUCCAAGGAGUUCCACAUCACCGUGCUCGAGGAGGACGACGGCUCCGGCCAGGAGAGGCGUGAGAGGACGUUCAAGGUGGUGAUCAGGUACGCGGCGAGGGCCGAUCUGCGGCGGCUCGAGCAGUACAUCGCCGGGAGGCAGGCCGAGGCGCCCCAGGAGGCCCUGCAGGUCCUUGACAUCGUCCUGCGUGAGCUGCCAACAGCUAGAUAUGCGCCAUAUGGUCGAUCGUUCUUCUCGCCGGACUUCGGUCGGCGGCGGUCCCUCGGCGACGGGGUCGAGAGCUGGCGCGGGUUUUAUCAGACCAUCCGCCCUACCCAGAUGGGAUUGUCGCUCAACAUCGAUAUGUCAGCAACAUCUUUCUUCGAGCCGCUGCCUGUCCUCGAUUUUGUCGGGCAGCUUUUGAACGCUGACAUUCACUCGAGGGCCCUCUCGGAUGCCGAGCGCGUCAAGAUCAAGAAGGCCCUAAGGGGAGUGAAGGUGGAAGUUACUCACCGUGGCAACAUUCGGCGCAAGUACCGGAUAUCUGGUUUAACAGCUCAGACAACUAGGGAGCUAACUUUUCCUGUUGAUCAAGGGGGCACGGUGAAGUCGGUUGUCCAGUAUUUUCAGGAGACAUAUGGGUUUGCCAUCCAGCACAUCAACCUUCCCUGUCUGACAGUCGGCAACCAGCAGCGUCCAAAUUACCUCCCCAUGGAGGUCUGCAAAAUAGUGGAGGGGCAGAGGUACUCCAAGAGGCUGAACCAGGGCCAGAUAAGAGCUCUUCUUGAGGAGACAUGCCAGCGUCCGCAUGACCGGGAGCGCGACAUAGUUCAGAUGGUGAAUCACAACUCUUACCACGAUGAUCCGUAUGCAAAAGAGUUUGGUAUUAAGAUCAGCGAGCGCCUGGCAUCGGUCGAGGCACGGAUUUUGCCUGCUCCUCGGCUGAAGUACAGCGAGACUGGUAGAGAGAAGGAUUGCUUGCCUAGAGUUGGCCAGUGGAAUAUGAUGAACAAGAAAAUGGUCAAUGGUGCUAGAGUCAGGAGCUGGCUGUGUGUCAACUUCGCUCGAAAUGUGCAAGAGAGUAUGGCUACUGGAUUCUGCCGUGAACUCGCUCGCAUGUGCCAAGCCUCAGGAAUGGACUUUGCUUUGGAGCCUGUUCUUCCGGUUAUAUACGUGCGCCCUGAUCAAGUGGAGAGAGGUCUGAAAGCUAGGUUCCAUGAUGCGAUGACCGCGCUUGGACCGCAGCGCAAGGAGAUCGAGUUGCUUAUUGGAAUUCUCCCUGAUAACAAUGGCUCACUUUAUGGUGACCUGAAGCGUGUCUGCGAGAUCGACCUUGGGCUGAUUUCCCAGUGCUGUUUGACAAAGCAAGUGUUCAAGAUGAACAAGCAAAUCCUGGCAAACCUUUCUCUCAAGAUAAAUGUCAAGGUUGGGGGAAGGAACACUGUACUGGCUGAUGCGUUGACAAGGCGCAUUCCUUUGGUUACGGACAAGCCGACGAUCAUAUUCGGUGCAGAUGUCACCCAUCCUCAUCCUGGUGAAGACAGCAGCCCUUCCAUUGCUGCAGUUGUGGCCUCCCAGGAUUGGCCUGAGGUGACCAAGUAUGCUGGCCUAGUCUCUGCUCAGACUCACAGGCAGGAAUUAAUAGAGGAUCUGUACAAUGUGACUCAUGAUCCUCAGAGGGGAACCAUCCAUGGUGGCAUGGUCAGGGAGCUUCUUACAUCCUUUAAGCGAACAACCGGAGAAAAGCCCGAGCGUAUUAUUUUCUAUAGGGAUGGAGUGAGUGAAGGCCAGUUCUACCAAGUUCUACUGCAUGAGCUUGAUGCCAUCAGAAAGGCAUGCGCAUCGCUGGAAGCAAACUACCAGCCGCUGGUUACGUUUGUCGUGGUCCAGAAGCGCCACCACACGAGGCUGUUUGCGCACAACCACAAUGACCAGAGCACCGUCGACAAGAGCGGCAACAUCCUUCCCGGCACUGUGAUUGACUCCAAGAUCUGCCACCCUACAGAGUUUGAUUUCUUCCUGUGCAGCCAUGCCGGCAUCAAGGGCACGAGCCGCCCCGCGCAUUACCAUGUCCUGUGGGAUGAGAACAACUUCACUGCUGAUGGACUGCAGACCCUCACCAACAACCUCUGCUACACUUACGCUAGGUGCACGCGCUCGGUGUCUAUCGUCCCUCCAGCAUACUACGCUCACCUGGCCGCCUUCCGCGCCCGCUUCUACAUGGAGCCGGACAGCUCCGACAGCGGCUCCAUCUCGAGCGCGCGCAAGUCCGGCUCGUCGACGUCCCGCAGCACCCGCGCCGCCGGCGCCGGGGUCGUCAGGCCCCUCCCUGCGCUCAAGGACAGCGUGAAGAAGGUCAUGUUCUACUGCUGA